AGGAUAAACGCUGGCGGCGUGCCUAACACAUGCAAGUCGAACGCGCUUUCGGGCUUCGGUGCGAGAGCGAGUGGCGGACGGGUGAGUAACACAUGGGUACCUGCCUUUCAGUGAGGGAUACCGGCGAGAAAUCGCCGACAAUACCGCAUGGGCUUGUGGGAACACAAGCAAAGUGGCGCAAGCCACGCUGGAAGAUGGGCCUGUGGCCGAUUAGCUAGUUGGGGGGGUAAUGGCCUCCCAAGGCGACGAUCGGUAGCUGGUCUGAGAGGACGAUCAGCCACACUGGGAUUGAGAACGGCCCAGACUCCUACGGGGGGCAGCAGUGAGGAAUUUUCCGCAAUGGACGAAAGUCUGACGGAGCAACGCCGCGUGCAGGAGGACGCUUUUCGGAGUGUAAACUGCUUUUCUCGAGGAAGAAGUCGGACGGUACUCGAGGAAGAAGCCCGGCUAACUACGCGCCAGCAGCCGCGGUAA
rnacentral:rRNA from 1 species